CCUACGGGGGGCUGCAGUCGAGAAUCUUUGGCAAUGGGCGAAAGCCUGACCAUGCGACGCCGCGUGCGGGAUGAAGGCUUUCGGGUCGUAAACCGCUGUCACGAGGGACGAAGGUGUUUCGGGCAAACAGCCUGAGAUAUUUGACGGUACCUCGAGAGGAAGCCACGGCUAACUCCGUGCCAGCAGCCGCGGUAAUACGGAGGUGGCAAGCGUUGCUCGGAUUCACUGGGUGUAAAGGGCAAGUAGGCGGUUUGGCAAGCUCCGCCUGAAAGGCUCUGGCUCAACCAGAGCAGUGGGCGGGGAACUACCGGACUUGAGGACAGGAGAGGCGAAUGGAAUUCCCGGUGUAAGGGUGAAAUCUGUAGAGAUCGGGAGGAACACCAGUGGCGAAGGCGAUUCGCUGGCCUGUUUCUGACGCUGAGAGGCGAAAGCUAGGGGAGCAAACAGGAUUAGAUACCCCAGUAGUC
rnacentral:rRNA from 1 species